CCCAGGCCCAUCUAACCGUAGGGUUUUAGCGUCUCGCCCCCGUCCUCUGCCGGCGUAGCGCCACCGCACUGCGCACCCGCCCCGACGCAAUGGCCACCGCCGCCGCCGCGAGAUCGUUCCUUCGAUCGGGAGUCGCCUCCUCCUCGUCCAUCCGCGGCGCCGCCGCGAGAGCCGCAUCCCGAGCCGGGCCGGCUCCGCUCCCGAGGAGGCUGCCCGCCGCUGCUCCCCGUCUCAUCUUGAGGUCGCCGGUGGAGAUGAGCAGCGUCUGCUUGGAGACGCUGAUGCCCAUGCACAGCGCCACGGCGUCGGCGCUCAUGACGUCGCUCCUCGCUGCCCCUGCGUGCAGGAGCUUUGGCUGGCUCUCCGAAGCUGGCAAUGAUGACGUGUGACAAACUCUAGGUGGAAUGUAGCAGAUUAUAGUCCCGUCAACUCAAAUCUACAGGUCUGUGAUUAGUGACAAUGGAGGGUGUCUGAGAUGAAGACAUGCUAAUGGAUGAUUUGUUGUUAUCGGAGCCUGAUGUGACGAUAGCUGCUACGAGAUACCUCCUAUUCAAUUUAAAGUACUUUCCGUCGGCGUCUUCUGAGCGACAUGUUCAGUAUUCUGGGAUUUUGGUCUGUGUAAGCGUCUACAAGAUUGUUACCUGAUCGUUGCGACGCUUACCUCCGGUUGUCCAACUGAUUUUACUAUUGAUGGCCUACUACUGAUUAAGUCCCGCUGAGAAAAUAAUGCUGAGUUGGAAAUUUUCUAAUUCUACAUUGUUUUGCUUCUAUCUGCACUGUUACUGUAUUAUGUACAGCGACAGUUUCGUACCUUAUUACUACAGCAGUACAGUAUUAUCGUGUUGUAUUAA